UACAGAGGUCUCAAGCGUUGUUCGGAUUCAUUGGGCGUAAAGGGUGCGUAGGCGGCGCGGUAAGUCGGGUGUGAAAUCUUGGAGCUUAACUCCGAAACUGCAUUCGAUACUGCCGUGCUUGAGGACUGGAGAGGAGACUGGAAUUUACGGUGUAGCGGUGAAAUGCGUAGAUAUCGUAAGGAAGACCAGUGGCGAAGGCGGCUACCUGGAUUGACACUGACACUGAGACACGAAGGCCAGGGGAGCAAACGGG
rnacentral:rRNA from 1 species